rnacentral:rRNA from 1 species
AUUGAACGCUGGCGGCAGGCCUAACACAUGCAAGUCGAGCGGCAGCACAAGGGAGUUUACUCCUGAGGUGGCGAGCGGCGGACGGGUGAGUAAUGCCUAGGGAUCUGCCCAGUCGAGGGGGAUAACAGUUGGAAACGACUGCUAAUACCGCAUACGCCCUACGGGGGAAAGAGGGGGACCUUCGGGCCUCUCGCGAUUGGAUGAACCUAGGUGGGAUUAGCUAGUUGGUGAGGUAAUGGCUCACCAAGGCGACGAUCCCUAGCUGUUCUGAGAGGAUGAUCAGCCACACUGGGACUGAGACACGGCCCAGACUCCUACGGGAGGCAGCAGUGGGGAAUAUUGCACAAUGGGGGAAACCCUGAUGCAGCCAUGCCGCGUGUGUGAAGAAGGCCUUCGGGUUGUAAAGCACUUUCAGUAGGGAGGAAAGGGUGAGUCUUAAUACGGCUCAUCUGUGACGUUACCUACAGAAGAAGGACCGGCUAACUCCGUGCCAGCAGCCGCCGUAA